UUUGGAGAGUUUGAUCCUGGCUCAGGAUGAACGCUGGCGGCGUGCUUAACACAUGCAAGUCGAACGGGAUCCCGGGGGUUCGCUUCCGGGUGAGAGUGGCGAACGGGUGAGUAAUGCGUGACCGACCUGCCCCAUACACCGGAAUAGCUCCUGGAAACGGGUGGUAAUGCCGGAUGCUCCGGUUGGAUGCAUGUCCUUCCGGGAAAGAUUCUAUCGGUAUGGGAUGGGGUCGCGUCCUAUCAGCUUGAUGGCGGGGUAACGGCCCACCAUGGCUUCGACGGGUAGCCGGCCUGAGAGGGCGACCGGCCACAUUGGGACUGAGAUACGGCCCAGACUCCUACGGGAGGCAGCAGUGGGGAAUAUUGCACAAUGGGCGCAAGCCUGAUGCAGCGACGCCGCGUGCGGGAUGGAGGCCUUCGGGUUGUAAACCGCUUUUGAUCGGGAGCAAGCCCUCGGGGUGAGUGUACCUUUCGAAUAAGCACCGGCUAACUACGUGCCAGCAGCCGCGGUAAUAA
rnacentral:rRNA from 1 species